UACGGAGGGUGCGUGCGUUAAUCGGAAUAAUUGGGCGUAAAGGGCACGCAGGCGGGCUUUUAAGUGAGUUGUGAAAUCCCCGGGCUUAACCUGGGAAUAGCAUUUCAGACUGGGAGUCUAGAGUACUUUAGGGAGGGGUAGAAUUCCACGUGUAGCGGUGAAAUGCGUAGAUAUGUGGAGGAAUACCGAAGGCGAAGGCAGCCCAUUGGGAAUGUACUGACGCUGAUGUGCGAAAGUGUGGGGAGCAAACAGG
rnacentral:rRNA from 1 species